UACGUAGGGGGCGAGCGUUGUCCGAAGUUACUGGGCGUAAAGGGCGCGUAGGCGGCCAUUUAAGUUUGAGGUGAAAGGUUCAACGCUCAACGUGAACAGUGCCUUGAAUACUGGGUGGCUUGAAUUUGGGAGAGGAUGACGGAAUUCCUGGUGUAGCGGUGAAAUGCGUAGAUAUCAGGAGGAACCCCGGUGGCGAAGGCGGUCAUCUGGCCUAAAAUUGACGCUGAGGCGCGAAAGCGUGGGGAGCGAACGGG
rnacentral:rRNA from 1 species